rnacentral:rRNA from 1 species
UACAGGGGGGGCAAGCGUUGUUCGGAGUUACUGGGCGUAAAGGGCUCGUAGGUGGCCAACUAAGUCAGACGUGAAAUCCCUCGGCUUAACCGGGGAACUGCGUCUGAUACUGGAUGGCUUGAAUCCGGGAGAGGGAUGCGGAAUUCCAGGUGUAGCGGUGAAAUGCGUAGAUAUCUGGAGGAACACCGGUGGCGAAGGCGGCAUCCUGGACCGGCAUUGACGCUGAGGAGCGAAAGCCAGGGGAGCAAACGGG